rnacentral:rRNA from 1 species
UACGUAGGUGGCAAGCGUUAUCCGGAAUUAUUGGGCGUAAAGAGUGAGCAGGCGGCUAUUUAAGUCUGAGGUCAAAUCCAGUGGCUCAACCACUGUACGCCUUGGAAACUGGGUAGCUAGAGUACGAGAGAGGUAUGUGGAACUCCAUGUGUAGCGGUGAAAUGCGUAGAUAUAUGGAAGAACACCAGCGGCGAAGGCGGCAUACUAGCUCGAUACUGACGCUCAGUCACGAAAGCGUGGGUAGCAAAUAGG